rnacentral:rRNA from 1 species
CCUACGGGAGGCAGCAGUAGGGAAUCUUCCGCAAUGGACGAAAGUCUGACGGAGCAACGCCGCGUGAGUGAUGAAGGUUUUUCGGAUCGUAAAGCUCUGUUGCCAGGGAAGAACAACUAGGAGAGUAACUGCUCUUAGUGUGACGGUACCUGAGAAGAAAGCCCCGGCUAACUACGUGCCAGCAGCCGCGGUAAUACGUAGGGGGCAAGCGUUGUCCGGAAUUAUUGGGCGUAAAGCGCGCGCAGGCGGCUUUGUAAGUCUGGUGUUUAAGCUCGGGGCUCAACCCCGAUACGCAUCGGAAACUGCGAGGCUUGAGUGCAGAAGAGGAAAGUGGAAUUCCACGUGUAGCGGUGAAAUGCGUAGAGAUGUGGAGGAACACCAGUGGCGAAGGCGACUUUCUGGGCUGUAACUGACGCUGAGGCGCGAAAGCGUGGGGAGCAAACAGGAUUAGAUACCCUGGUAGUCCACGCCGUAAACCGAUGAAUGCUAGGUGUUAGGGGUUUCGAUACCCUUGGUGCCGAAGUUAACACAUUAAGCAUUCCGCCUGGGGAGUACGCUCGCAAGAGUUGAAACUCAAAGGAAUUGACGGCUUGGNGAGNGCGAGGCGACGACGAGGGAGAGG